CGUUCUGGUAGUAUAGGAGAAGCUCUAAGUUAGGAGCCUGUGCAUGUGUCGGCGGAGUAUCACGGAGAACACGUGUAGUUAAGGCAGUGGUGGCUCGGGCAUAGUGGCGUGGUGCGGAUCGGAGAGCGGCGGAUUCAGGUGGUUAGGCGGCAAGUUGACUCGUGUACUGGUGGUGGGAAGUGGUUCCCGGGGUCCUGUGUGCCAAAAAUUCUGUGCUGUUUGUGAGGUGCGGUGGUCAGUGAAUUCACGGAACACUAUACCGUUGUGCCAAGUGGAUGGUGAAAGCGCCUUUUCUUUUAAAUCAGGCGACAUCCCAACUUUAAAGGAGAUAAAGCUGAGAGUGCCUGGAUCCUUGUCACGUGGCACCAGUCUAAUAGUGAUGACGUCAUCAGUACCUAGCUGAGAAGCCACCAUCAGCUUGAAAUCGGAGUCAGACACCGAUGGAGCAAUUCUGGUAAGGUAUAACCAGAAUUUCGGCCCGUUGGAUACAUUCAACGGGACGGUCAGCACGGUACGAGACGAUGGUGAAAUCGGAGCAGUGCCAACUUUGAGAGGUGGCGCAGAAACGGCAUCAGGAGGCGUGAAAUCGACAAGCCUACGUUUAGGCGCAUUGCGGUUAGGAGCAUUUUGAGACGCUCGGUCCAGUUCACCGGGACGGGAGCUUAAUGGCGUUGCUGCGGCGGUUGAUGAUGUUAGUGGUGCGAGUGGCAUCAACGUGUGCGUGUUGGAAUUGCUCCUGUCAACAGCCGACAGUACAUCAGCACGCACAGCAUCCAAGACGGCAGUAAGACGACCGUCAAAUUCGCGAAGCAACUCGUCCUUCAGAACAUCGAGAGCGGUAUUGAGCUCAUUGAAUAUAGCUCUACCGUUAAGCCGUGAUGCGUUGCAACUUGCGCAAAUCCAGAGGGCUUGAGCAUCGGGCCGUGUGAAUUCCGGAAGAGCAGCUUCGGGGACUCCAAUACAACGAAGAUGGUAAGAUGUAUCGCAGGAGCCCGCACACUUGUACAGUUCUUCGUUGUUUACAGGCAGGGAGCACGAAGGACAGGACGUAGCCAUCGUAAACACUGAGCUGCACUGACACAGGAACGAAACGCACUAACACAAAACAAGAACGAGUGCGUGAAACGUCGAGGACGCUAGCUCGAAAAAAUAGUCGAUAACAGCGCGGUGAUGCAACAAAUCAGGCCGGAAUCUGACACGAAUUGAGGACAAGACACCAGUGCAACUAUAGACAGCAAAUUUCACACGGCAAGGCACGCAGAACACGUUGAAAACACGUAAAAACAACGGAGCUCGAAGAAGUUCCAAUCGAACGUGACGAAGUCCAAGAUGGAUCUCUUGUGUUUCCCGAACACAACGGUGCUGUGAUUCUGAAGACCGGGCGAGUGUGAUAUUUGCAAACCAUGUAUAACGUGAAGCGAGCGAAAAAAAGUGGUCAAAUCAAUAAGCUGAGCAAGACGUUAUGGGCGAAUUAUGAACAGCAAUGCGAUGAUGAACAUCAAGCUGGACCAAGCACACGCCAACAUACUCAAGCUCGCUACAUAUGAUGAAGAAUAUCUCGAGGAUUCGCCAACUGUAUGUGAUAUGCUUACUGAAUCCGAAUAUACAACCAACUUCGAGCAGGAUGAUGAUGACCAUGAAGAUGAGGAAUUCCUAGAACCAGUACCGAUGGACGAGGAUGAUAAUGAGCAAGGAGAGGAGGAGAAUGAAUUCAUCGAAGAUGAUACAAAUUCUUUUGCAAAAUAUACGACUUUGGGCUCUAUUUCAUCAGAUUACACAUGUUGCUUUAAAAUAUUUAUUAUUUAUAUUGCAAGAUGUUAAUGAAAUACACCUCCCACAAGAUCCCAGGACAUUGCUGAAGACCACAACUGCCGUAUGAAAAGAGAUUUCGAUCGUACCGGGAGGAGAGAUGUGGUAUCAGGGAUUCGAGAAUUGUUUAAAACAUCAUUUUCAAGCUGUUACCCCUUCCCUUGACGUGUUCUCCAUAAAUCUCUUCGUGGACAGACUUCCUUUGCAUAACAGUGGCCCAAAAAAAAUUUUGGCCUGUUAUGAUGCAGCUUCAUAAUGUGCCAGAUGAACCUAUCUUAGUGUAGGGCAUAUUUUGUGGAUCGUCAAAACCAGACAAUGUGGAGGACUAUUUGCGACCGCUAGUGGUUGAACUGAAUCAAAUUAUUGAAGCAGGAGUUUUAAUAAACCAAAAUCGGAUCAGGAUCAACUAAAGAGCAUUCAUUGCUGUUACCCCGGUACGAUCGUUCAUAAAAGGAGUAGCGUACCACAACGGUUACCAUGCUUGCAUGAAAUGCAAAAUAGUGGAAAAAUAUUGUAGAGCAGCACGGAAAAUAAUUUACGAAGGAGUAGCUGCCGA